CUCUACCCGCCUCUGCUGGAAAACAGGCCGCAGAAUAUAGGUGUUCUCGGGCUCCCCUGCGUUCUUCUCAGCCUCAGGCACCCCGUCGCCCACCGAGAAGGACACUCCGAUGGACGUGGCCAUGCCGGGGCUUCUCGGUCCGGGCGUAGCUCGCGAUGAAGGCCUAGCGGGUUGCGGUCGCGGCCGGCAGCAGGGAAAGCGUCUCCAGGGCAACAGGGCCGCCCUCCCGCCUCGCUGAAGCCCGCGAGCGCCCCGCACAGCCGCCCUCCCUGCCCGCGCCUGCGCACCGGCUGCUGGGCGGGAACUGGUCGCGUCCGGACGCGCGACAGCUUCCACCCGCCUCAGGCAGUAUCAGCCGCGCCGCAGUCGGAGGAAAUAGACGCGGGGCCUGAGGCUCCUGGACUUGAGCAAGCCUGUUACCCUCUGUGAGCCUCAACUUCUCUAUGUGUAACAAAUGGCCAACUUUAUGGGAUUGUCAAGAAGCUGAAAUGAGACCCUGGCUGGAGGAUAUUUUAUGGACUAUAAAUUCCUAAACAAUUAUAAUAACUUAGUUAUUUAUCCUAUCCAUGGAUCACCUGGAAGUUUACAAUGUGAUUUAAAAUGCAUUCUAUCAUUCCACCGACCUGCAGUGAAUUUUGUUGUCAUUAUUACUCCAGGGAUACCUAAAGGGGAAGUUUGUUUAUAAUUCGUACCCACUCCUUGUAGAAAGGAUUCAAGACAGCCGAUGAUGAAAACACCCAUGCUUGCAAGUGAAGGUUCUGCCUGUCACUUCUCGCAGAGGCUGCAGAAAAGGCCCAGGAGGCUGUUGAUGACAUGAACGACCACCAGGAGAAGCUGGAGCAGGCUGAUGCACAGAAGGGCGGAGAAGAGGGACACGUGCCAGACAACAGCUGCAGAGGGCUCCAGGCAGACGGAGUUCCAGAGCGAACGGUCUUUGAAUGGGUAACCAUAUUUCCAAGCUUGUGUCUGAUUGAAGGAUGAAACAUCAAACAUGCAAAAAGGACCAUCUUUCAGAGCAACUCCAGAAGUGACAAAGCAAAUCAGGGCUCCAAGUAAAGCCAGGCCACCUGACAACAGAGCAAUGAAAGCCUGAAACUGGAAAGAUGAAGCAACUUGCCCAAGAACUUAGCGUUACUGAGGGUCACAGUGAGGACCUGACUUCAGGCCCCAAGACCAAAAUUGCCUCUUUACCGCCCUGCCUCUAGAGUAAUAGAGGUGGAGACAUUCUGGGUGUUAGAAGAGUGGAAUCUGGUGCUUACGCUUCGACAGAGCCCACUCUUACUGAAGCAGCCGUAUCUCCAGCCCAUCAAGGAGAUGAGGAUAGCUGCAGUGAGUACCUGCAGGAGAGAGAAGAAUGUUGAGAUGGGGAAAUCGACUUUGCCGGCUGUUUCUAGGUGCUGCCCACAGCUGUUAGAGUGGCUGGCAGCUCACAUGAACGCAGUCCUGUUGACUCUGACUCUGGGGACCCACAUUUGUAUGACGAGCCUGAUCUAACGCUGUGGAUGUUAACUUUCACACCCGACCUGCCUGGUCCCAAGCUAGGCUUCCUGUCUCUUAGAGCUUCUACAGACCCAAGAUCAGCUUGUUAGAAUAAACUUUUCUGCAAGGAAUCAAAACACUCUUCCCAUGCCACCUUCCUGCUCCCCGCCGGGGUCUCUUUGAGAGUUCACGUUCAGGGAACCCCGGACACUUACCAUGAGGCCUCCUCCCCAGAGCCCAGUUCCCAGCAUGGCAUGCCUGCCAAGGAGGCCCCUCAACAGGUAGGUGACAUCCCAGUUAGGAAGGAGGAGUGCCACGUUGGCCCCAGCAGCAAACAGGGCUGCAGUCCCAAGGCUCAGUCCCAGGAUACGGGAGCAAGUCCGUGAGCUUGCCUGCGUGCAGGGAGAGGACACCAUCCUGGAACAGAUAGAAAGGGAGUCGCAGCAGCUCUGCUGUGGGGGGAUGGGGAAGGGAACUCCAGCAGCAUAUCAUGGGUGAGGGAAACAGACUACAGAAACCGCCACCUUCCAGGGUCAGACCAAUGAGAGCCAAGCAACCUGCUUAAAAACUCUGCUCCUUAGGAAUCUUCCCCAGUGACUAGGAUUUAAUUGUUUCCUUUUCUGCUAACCCCUGUUCACACAUACAUAGUUUGCAUUCCAUCAUAUUUUGUUUAUGCCUCUAUUACAGCCAGUGAUUAUUUCUGACAAAAAGAAAUGUUUAAAGGUGUCUUCAUGAUGUCCAUUGUCUCCACUUCUAUUCAACGUUGUACUGGUCCUGGCCAGUGCAAUACGAAAAUAAAAGGAAGCAAAAGCCACACAGAUAGGAAAGAAAGAAGUAAUAUUGUCGGCCAGGCAUGGUGGCUCAGGCCUGUAAUCCCAGCACUUUGGGAGGCUGAGGCAGGCGGAUCACGAGGUCAGGAGUUCAAGACCAGCCUGGCCAACAUGGUGAAACCCCGUCUCUACUAAAAAUACAAAAAUUAGCUGGGCACGGUGGUGGGUGCCUGUAAUCCCAGCUACUGGGGAGACUGAGGCAGGAGAAUUGCUUGAACCCGGGAGGCAGAGGUUGCAGUGAGCUGAGAUCAUGCCACUGCACUCCAGCCUGGGUGACACAGCAAGACUCCAUCUUAAAAAAAAAAAAAAGUAACAUUGUUAUUAUUCACAGAUAAUGUGAUCACAUUAUGUAGAAAAUCCUAAAGUUUAUUAGAAUUAACAGGUGAGUUUAGCAACGUCAUAGAAUAAAAGAUUAAUAUACAAAAAUUAUAUUGUAUUUCUAUAUACAAGCAAUGACAAAUUGAGGAUUGAAAUUAAAAUAUAUCAUUUACAAUAGCAUAAAAAUAUAAUACAUAUGGAUGAAUUUAACAAAAUAUUUGCAAGACCUAUAUAGUAAGAAUUGCAAAGCAUUGCUGAGAAAAUUAAUGGAGACCUAAAUAAAUGGAGACAUAUACCAUGUUCCUGAACCAGAAGACUCAAAAUAGUUAACAUGUUCUCCCUAAAUUGAUGCAAAGAUUUAAAGCAAUAUCAGUCAAAAUCCUAGGAGAGUUUUGUUAUAGAAAUUGACAAACUGAAUCUAAAUUUAUAUGGAAAUGCAAAGCAAUUGUGAAGAUUAGCCAAAGCAAUUCUGAAAAACAAACAAAGCUGGAGAACUUACGCCAUGUGAUUUCAAGACUUACAAAGCUACAGUAAUUGAAGACACUGAAGCCACGCGUAAGGAAACACAUAUGGACUACUGGAACAGGCUGGAGCUCAGAAACAGACCCGGUCCAGGAAAAAUGAUUUUUUUUUUUUCUUGAGACGGAGUCUCGCUCUGUUGCUCAGGCUGGAGUGCAGUGGCGCGAUCUCAGCUCACUGCAACCUCUGCCUCCCAGGUUCAAGCGAU
rnacentral:lncRNA from 10 species